AGAGUUGGCCGGGCAGUCGCUGUGGUGGUGCGCAAGCAUUGCUAUGGAGGAAAGUCCGGGCUCCACAGGGUAGAGUGCCAGGUAACGCCUGGGAGGCGCGAGCCUACGGAAAGUGCAGCAGAAAGCAAACCGCCUAAGCGCGCAAGCGCCGGUAAGGGUGAAAAGGUGCGGUAAGAGCGCACCG
rnacentral:RNase_P_RNA from 1 species